GCCAACUGGCUACCAUGCACUCUGGAUUGUGGAGGAGGAUCUCUUCCGGCCAGCCGCCCAAACGACGAGUCUAGGGCUUUGUUUAGUUCCAAAAUAUUUUGUGCUAAAUAUAAAAUUUCUUUGAUAUUUUGUAUUUUGAAAGUAAACAUACCUAAAAUAUUUCGGUCCUAAAUUUUAUGGAAAAUUAAAUAGGGACAUUAAGGCCUUGUUUAGUUCUGUUUUUUUUUUUUUUGCAAAAUGGACAUUGUAACACUUUCGUUUGUAAUUGACAAAUAUUGUCCAAUAAUAGAAUAAUUAGGCUCAAAAGAUUUGUCUCACAAAUUAUAUAUAAAUUGUGCAAUUAGUUAUUUUUUAUCUAUAUUUAAUGCUUUAUACAUGUGCCGUAAGAUUCGAUGUGACAGAUAAUUAAAAAAUUUUGCAAAACUUUUUGGAAAGUAAACAUCAAAACCCAAAAAAAUUGGUGUUAGAAUUUGGUGGGUUGCUCAAGGUUUUGGAUUUUAGUUUUUUUUUUACAAAAUACUUCAUAAACUAAGGCUUGUUUAGAUGCGAAAAGAUUUUAGAUUUCGCUACUGUAGUACUUUCGUUUGUUUGUGGCAAAUAUUGUCCAAUUAUGGACUAACUAGGAUCAAAAGAUUCGUCUCGCGAUUUACAGCAGUAGCCCUCGACCGAAGGCAGCGGUGACUCGGUCUUGUUUAGUUAC
rnacentral:lncRNA from 1 species